rnacentral:tRNA from 1 species
GCGGGUGUGGCGGAACUGGCAGACGCGCGAGAUUUAGGUUCUCGUGGCCUUUGGCCUUGCAGGUUCGAUUCCUGUCACCCGCA